UACGUAGGUGGCAAGCGUUAUCCGGAUUUAUUGGGCGUAAAGAGAGCGCAGGCGGUCUUUUAAGUCUGAUGUGAAAGCCUUCGGCUUUACCGGAGUAGUGCAUUGGAAACUGGGAGACUUGAGUGCAGAAGAGGAGAGUGGAACUCCAUGUGUUGCGGUGAAAUGCGUAGAUAUAUGGAAGAACACCAGUGGCGAAAGCGGCUCUCUGGUCUGUAACUGACGCUGAGGUUCGAAAGCGUGGGUAGCAAACAGG
rnacentral:rRNA from 1 species